AUGUGUCAUUAUAUUACAAAUACAUAAGAAUAAACUAUAAAUUACUUGUAAGUAAAAUUAAUAGUUGUAAUUCUAUAAGUAGCAUUUAAAGGGAAUAACAAAAAUGUAGAUAUUUAUAUAUUUUUUUGUAUAAGUUUUAAUAAUUUUAUUUGUUUCAUAAAAUUAAUUAUAUCUAGGUUUUUAUUUUGAUUGGGUCCUAGUGCGAUGUCUAGAAGUUAAAAGAUAUCUUGUGCUUGACCCAUUCUUGGUUGUACCUUAAAGGCUUAAACGGUCAGCUAUUAAGUAUUUGAUGGUUACACAGGUUUGACAAAUGGGGUGCUCCUCUCUGGCCAUCAGGAAACCGUGCCUGUAAGGUCAGUGGCAUACACAGCAAUUGGGGUGGAAAGCUUAUAUCAAAAAAUUAUAUUUUUCAAUAUUUGAUGUUUUAAUAUAAAAACUUGGAAACGUUUCUAUAAAAUAAAAAAAAUCCAUCAAGAAGAGGUUAAAUACCCCCUCUCUGACCUCAAAGGUACUAGUUUUAUUUAUUCACUCAGUUAUGUAAUAUUGAUUGUAUUUGAUUAGAUCUUUUUAUUUUAAUAAUCAUAGAGAUUUUUUCAGUCUGAUAGUGGUGGACAUUCCAUUACGCACGAGUAGGUCUAUCCAUUGUAUUAUAAAAUUCUACACUAACUUGAAUUCUGUAAAAAUGGAAUUUAUAUCUAUUUGAACAUAGAUUUAUUUUUAAUAAUACCUUAUGACUUAUACCGGUUGGUGUAGGUGUGUAUAAAUGAUGUGACUUUUUUUUACUAAAUAUUAUUUUACACAAAUAUACAAUAUAAUAUAUAUUAUAAACUAAUACAGUAAUACAUUAUAGAUACUUAAAGAAAGUAUCAGUACAAAUUUAUAAUAAAUACUAGGUAUAGAUAAAACCAAACAAAUUUAACAAGUUACCAGCGACAGCAUGGUUAGAACUCAUAAUAAAUAUGCGUAUAAGGUAAAUAGUAUAGAUAUGAUAGGUAUAGUUAAUUCGUAUUACUAAUAAGAUAAUACAUUUAACCUUUAACAUUUUAUACCUUUUUAUUGGUUUCAAACACAAAUUUUCAAUAAGAUAUAAUUACUAGAAAAAUAAGGUAUUUAUAAUACAAUUGCCAAUAGGUAACAUACAUUAAUCCAUAUUCAUGUUAUAAUUUACAAAACUAAAAUUUAAAAACAAAUAUAUUUCGAAAAAAUAUUCAACAAUCCAAUUAAAUAUAAACAACACAUAGUACCGUACAUACAAUAACCUGCAAACGUUUUAUUUUAGUCUAGAAGUAUCAUAAUGAAAAUAAAAAUACUGAAAUUUUUUAAACUUAAUUCAUAAUUAGGUAUUUGCAUAUAAAUAUGCAUAAUAUAAUAAUUCAAAUACAAUAACAUUAAUAAUAAUACAAUUCAACGAUUAUAACAGAUUUUUAAUGAGUACAUUUACUAUUACUAUUAUUAUUACUCAUAAACUUUAUUUAAACUACAUAUAUUCAAUUUAAGCUUAAUUAUAUUGCACCACAAAUACAAAAAUAAUAGGAUUCAGCAAUAAUAUUAUUGUACAACAUUUCAGAUCCAUGUGUUAUACGUCUAUUCAUUUGACAUAAAAUAAUAUGUGAAUAAAUAUUAUGUUAACAGUGACAAAACAUGAAUUAGUGAUCCGACGUUAUCGAUAUACACAAAUAUAUCAUUGAUUAUUGCUAGCUGGAAUGUAUGGGAAACAAACUUUUGGAAACAAAAUGAGCAAACCCAU